CCUCGCACUCCUUAACCUGUCCUAGUCCUCCGCCCGUGCCCACUCUCCAUCAACCCCAGUGUAAUGCUACUCAGCUAGCUCUUUCUUCAGGGCAUCCUUUGGAAAGGAUCCCCUGGCAUGGAAAACUCGGUACGCGUACAUCUGUUGGCAUGUCUCUGUUAAUAUGUCUUGGUCCGUUUAAUUUUCAGAUCCAGCCAGGGACCUUAAGAGAGUCAGGAAGCCUUUUCCUCCCGGGCAAGGGGUGUGACUGAGAAGACUGUGUGUUGGAGAAGCUUCGACCACUCCAUCGCUUCAGUUUUUGGAAACCAGAGACUUGCAGUGGCAUUGAUGAGACUAUGGACUAUGCCAUGAAGCAGUCCAUGGCUGAGAGACUGCUGGAGCCCAUAGUAGCCGGUGACCACAGCCAUGCCCUUCUCUCUUCUGCUCUCCCAUCUGCGAAAUAAGAAUAAUGAUGUAUCUGCCUCUGAGUUGCUGGAAGGAUAAAAUGAGAUGACUGCUGUAAAUCCUGAUGGCUAACCUAGAAGGAAUGCAGAAUAAAACUACUGUUUAUAACAGAAUUAUAAGCUCUAUUAUACAGGUAAUUACAAAUGCUCCUUGACUGGUAAUUCUCGCACGCACUUUAUUGACAACAUUUUACUUGCUAUAGUUUGUUUCUGAAUGUGUGCAAAGGUAAUAAGACAAUUAUGCUGUAAAUUGCACCAUGAAUUCACCCCAACUAGACUUCCCUCAAAUUAAUACUAAUUAGUGAUGUACAAUACUGAUACUUGUAAUUUCAAUGGAAGUUAGAGGGAUGUUUGCUUUGCAAUACCACUGGGAGAGAAAAAAAUCAGUUGUUUUUUUUAAAUAAACGGAGGAAGCUAAUAUAAAGUGAAGAUGAAAUAAUGACUUCAAGCAUUUAUUCAGUCAUGUUGUGUGCUGCUUCUUAACAAUAAACAUAUCAUUUACAACACUAAGCAGAAGGAAGACUCCUCUAGCCUGUGUACCAAAUAAGGACAAAAAAGACAGAAAACCCAGCCUUUUUACUCUCAAUGGAGCAUCGCACUCAUUAAAAAAAAAAAAUUUUUUUUAAUUAAUCUCAGGCGUUCCUGUCGUAGCUCAGCAGAAACGAAUCUGACUAGGAACCAUGAGGUUGCGGGUUUGAUCUGUAGACUCACUCAGUGGGUUAAGGAUCUGGCUUUGCCAUGAGCUGUGGUGUAGGCCAACAGCUGUAGCUCUAAUUGGACCCCUAGCCUGGGAACCUCUGUGUGCCUCGGGUGUAGCCCUAAAAAAAGCAAAACAACAACAACAAAACAAACAAACAAACAAACAAACAAAAAAACCUCAAAGCUGUUUCCAAAUGUUUAAUAACCUGAGUCCACCCUAAUAACAUAAGACAGAUCAAUCACCUAUUUCAAUUGUUUAAGCAGGAAAGCUCAAUUUGGGAGGAGUGGGGGAGUUGGCUCCGGUACACUGGCAACCUGCUUUAUUAGUUUCAAAAACCAUUGUUGUUUUUGAAAAGGGUUUUUCCAGCCCUUCUAGUGGUAACAAUCCAAAAGACUCUGCUUGUACAGAAACCAGGAUUUCCCAAACUUGCCCAUCACAAGAGUCCCCUGUUUAAACACAUAUUCCCAGACAGCCCUAGGGAAUCAGCCUUUCUAAGUGGCUCUAGUCAUCAGACAAUUUGGGCAACACCUCCCUGCAGUGGCUCUUGACCCUGAUCAUGUGCUGGAGUCUUCUGGGGAGCACAAAAAGCAGCCUCGGCAACACCUGAGGCCUGGACCCACCGCAGACAAAAGAAAUCACCAUCUCUGGAGCUGGCCUGGCCCCUGGUUUUUGGUUUUGGCUGUGUCUGCCGCACGUGGAAGUUCUUGAGCCAGGAAUCCAACCUGCGCCACAGCGGUGGCAGUGCCGGAUCCUUCACCCCCUGUGCUACAAGAGAACUCCAUCGCUGGUGUUUUUCCAAAGCUACCCAGAGGAUACGAACCAUCUCAGGCCCCCCGUCCCAUCCCCAGGCCUCCUCAAGGGCAAUCUGCAUCAGAACAAGAGCUUCGGCGAUCUACGUGCACACUGAAGGUGGACAAGGCUGUCCUCGUGCCUCCCAACAAACAGAACUCAUAUCUUUCCACCCCAGAAGGAUGGAUUUUUUGGCUCUCCUUUCCCUCUAGCCACCACAAGAAACUCACCCUCUUUCCAGGUCUUUUUCUUUAUACUCUUGGCCAUUGAAAGCCAAGUGAAGAGGGACAGGGUGAGGCACACCUCUCCGUUCCAAAAUCAUUUAUUAACGUAGGUUCGAUGGUAUACACUGCUCUUACCCAAUCGAAUGCCCCGGAAAAACUUUAAUUGGCAGUUUCAGUUUCAUGUCCCAUAAAUCAAAAACAUGAAGGAUCACUAGCAUUCACAUCCGUGAACUCAUUUAGACAGUUUUCUUUAAUUAACGAUGAAGACACUACAGUUCUAAGUACCAGACAGCAUCGGGGGUGGGGGGGGGGGGACUGAAAAGCAUAACACUAUAAAGAAGACUGGGAAAAAAGUGAAUCUAAAUAAAAAUAUAUACCUGGCCUGGUACCCAUUACAUAUAUACAUAAUACAUAUGUUAUACACAUAUUUACAAUAAAUGUUUUGGUAGCAAUACAGACCAUGCAUUGGUCCUUUUGAACACAGAUGACGUAGCACCCAAAUCAGCACCACCAUCUUAAGAUGAAAAACCCAACUGCACAGACAUUAAAGGAAAAAAAUAGAUAUGUAUUUGAUUUGGCCCACCCUGUAGCCAAGAGGUGUAAGGAAAGAACUCAGUGAGAAAAAAUGGUUCCAGGAACUGCAUUCUUAAGCCAAUAGCAAAGUUCUAAAAAGAAAAAAAAAAAAA